ensembl:lncRNA
GAUCGUUCUUCCGGUGUUUAGAGUCGGGAGUAGAGGGCCGCCAUCCGACCUGGGAAGUCCGACUUCCAAACUUGGACUGUUGGUCCCAGCUUUCCGGGAAGGGGAAGGCGGUGGAGGCUGCCCCCCGGGAGGAGGAGCUCCCCACGCAGCAGCCCCCCAAGGGGAAGGAGCCCCCCACGCAGAAGGAGCCCCGUGUCUCUAGCUCCAGGGCAGCCUGUGGUGAGAGCCGGCCCAGGACCCCGCCCGCCUGGUCAUCUUGGCCGUCCUGGCUGAGCAGAGAGGGGGUGACCAUGGAACACGUGGCCGGAGUGCUCAGAGGGAGAGGUGCUCUCCUUCCCCGAGCCUGGGGUGCAGAGGCUGAGGCCUGGAGGACUUCUGGGGUCCUCCCCACCAGCCUUUGGGUGAGUUGUGCUCGUCUCUCUUACGUGUCAUCUCGUGCCCUGUCGUUUCUGGCGUUGGAUACAAUGUCUUGCCUUUAUCUUGGAUGGUGUCAACUUUACCCAAGUACCCCGAAGGACCUGAGCCUGGCGACCUUUCCCAGAAGUUUGCGGUUUUAAUGGAUGAUACAGCGUAGGCUGUGUGUGUGGGUGUGUCCAAAUGGCUGUGUAAAUAUAUCCACCAGUAUGUGUAGUAUACCUGCUCACAUGUAAGUUAUUAUAGCGAGAAUGUCACUAUUAUAAAUGGACAAAUUGUAGAUUGUAUGUAUAGACUUCGAUGAGGAGUAGUUUCUGUUCUCAGUGUUAUUAAUUAUGCAAAUUAUUUCUCUGAUGUUGAAUUGACCUUCCGUUGCUGGUAUAAAUCUAACUUGAUUGCAGUGAUUGAUGUUUUUGGAUAAAUUGUUGUACCACUUUUGCUAAGAUUUUCUUUAAAACUUUUAGAUUGAUAUUUGUUGGUCUAUGUUUUUCUUUCUUUGCUUUAUCCUUGCCUGAUUUAGGUCUUAAGAUUAUAUCUAGGGGCAGCUAGGUGGCGCAGUAGAUGGAGCACUGUCCUUGAAGUCAGGAGGACCUGAGUUCAAAUGCGGCCUCAGACACAUAGCAUGCACUAGCUGUGUGACUCUGGGGAAGUCACUUAACCCCAAUCGCCUCACCAAAAAAAAAAAAACAAAACCCAAAAACAAACCAGGCCCUACCCUGAAGGAUCUUACAGUCUAGUGGGGGAGACAACAUGCCAACAGAUACAGACAGAAUAAGUAGGAAAGAAAGAACAGAGGAAAAGCGAUGGAAUUAAGAGGAUUGGGGAAGGCUUCCUGGAGAAGGUGGGAGUAUAGUCGGGACUUAACGGAAGCCAAAGAGGUCAGUAGUGGGAGUGAAGGGAGGGCAUUUCAGACCUGAGGGACAGAGACAACGUCUGGAGCCAAGAGAUGCAGCCGGGAGGCUGCUGUCUCUGGAUGGAAGAGUCCGUGUUUAUGGUGUCAAAAGACUGGAAAGGUGGGAGGGGGCUGACUUAGGAUGGAUACCAGACAGAACAUCUUAUAUUUGCUUCUGGGGGCAAUAGUGAGCCCCUAAAGUGGCCCAAGCAGACCUUCACGUUAGGACAGUCCCUUUAGGGUCUGAAAGG